CCUACGGGGUGCAGCAGUGAGGAAUAUUGGUCAAUGGACGAGAGUCUGAACCAGCCAAGUAGCGUGAAGGAUGACUGCCCUAUGGGUUGUAAACUUCUUUUAUAUGGGAAUAAAAUGUUCCACGUGUGGGAUUUUGUAUGUACCAUAUGAAUAAGGAUCGGCUAACUCCGUGCCAGCAGCCGCGGUAAUACGGAGGAUCCGAGCGUUAUCCGGAUUUAUUGGGUUUAAAGGGAGCGUAGGUGGAUUGUUAAGUCAGUUGUGAAAGUUUGCGGCUCAACCGUAAAAUUGCAGUUGAAACUGGCAGUCUUGAGUACAGUAGAGGUGGGUGGAAUUCGUGGUGUAGCGGUGAAAUGCUUAGAUAUCACGAAGAACUCCGAUUGCGAAGGCAGUUCACUGGACUGCAACUGACACUGAGGCUCGAAAGUGUGGGUAUCAAACAGGAUUAGAUACCCUUGUAGUC
rnacentral:rRNA from 1 species